rnacentral:rRNA from 1 species
CAAGUCGAACGGUAGCACAGAGAGCUUGCUCUCGGGUGACGAGUGGCGGACGGGUGAGUAAUGUCUGGGAAACUGCCUGAUGGAGGGGGAUAACUACUGGAAACGGUAGCUAAUACCGCAUAACGUCGCAAGACCAAAGAGGGGGACCUUCGGGCCUCUUGCCAUCAGAUGUGCCCAGAUGGGAUUAGCUAGUAGGUGGGGUAACGGCUCACCUAGGCGACGAUCCCUAGCUGGUCUGAGAGGAUGACCAGCCACACUGGAACUGAGACACGGUCCAGACUCCUACGGGAGGCAGCAGUGGGGAAUAUUGCACAAUGGGCGCAAGCCUGAUGCAGCCAUGCCGCGUGUAUGAAGAAGGCCUUCGGGUUGUAAAGUACUUUCAGCGGGGAGGAAGGUGUUGCGGUUAAUAACCGCAGCAAUUGACGUUACCCGCAGAAGAAGCACCGGCUAACUCCGUGCCAGCAGCCGCGGUAAUACGGAGGGUGCAAGCGUUAAUCGGAAUUACUGGGCGUAAAGCGCACGCAGGCGGUCUGUCAAGUCGGAUGUGAAUCCCCGGGCUCAACCUGGGAACUGCAUUCGAAACUGGCAGGCUAGAGUCUUGUAGAGGGGGGUAGAAUUCCAGGUGUAGCGGUGAAAUGCGUAGAGAUCUGGAGGAAUACCGGUGGCGA